GGUUAAGCGACUAAGCGUACACGGUGGAUGCCCUGGCAGUCAGAGGCGAUGAAGGACGUGCUAAUCUGCGAUAAGCGUCGGUAAGGUGAUAUGAACCGUUAUAACCGGCGAUUUCCGAAUGGGGAAACCCAGUGUGUUUCGACACACUAUCAUUAACUGAAUCCAUAGGUUAAUGAGGCGAACCGGGGGAACUGAAACAUCUAAGUACCCCGAGGAAAAGAAAUCAACCGAGAUUCCCCCAGUAGCGGCGAGCGAACGGGGAGCAGCCCAGAGCCUGAAUCAGUGUGUGUGUUAGUGGAAGCGUCUGGAAAGGCGCGCGAUACAGGGUGACAGCCCCGUACACAAAAAUGCACAUGCUGUGAGCUCGAUGAGUAGGGCGGGACACGUGGUAUCCUGUCUGAAUAUGGGGGGACCAUCCUCCAAGGCUAAAUACUCCUGACUGACCGAUAGUGAACCAGUACCGUGAGGGAAAGGCGAAAAGAACCCCGGCGAGGGGAGUGAAAAAGAACCUGAAACCGUGUACGUACAAGCAGUGGGAGCACGCUUAGGCGUGUGACUGCGUACCUUUUGUAUAAUGGGUCAGCGACUUAUAUUCUGUAGCAAGGUUAACCGAAUAGGGGAGCCGAAGGGAAACCGAGUCUUAACUGGGCGUUAAGUUGCAGGGUAUAGACCCGAAACCCGGUGAUCUAGCCAUGGGCAGGUUGAAGGUUGGGUAACACUAACUGGAGGACCGAACCGACUAAUGUUGAAAAAUUAGCGGAUGACUUGUGGCUGGGGGUGAAAGGCCAAUCAAACCGGGAGAUAGCUGGUUCUCCCCGAAAGCUAUUUAGGUAGCGCCUCGUGAAUUCAUCUCCGGGGGUAGAGCACUGUUUCGGCAAGGGGGUCAUCCCGACUUACCAACCCGAUGCAAACUGCGAAUACCGGAGAAUGUUAUCACGGGAGACACACGGCGGGUGCUAACGUCCGUCGUGAAGAGGGAAACAACCCAGACCGCCAGCUAAGGUCCCAAAGUCAUGGUUAAGUGGGAAACGAUGUGGGAAGGCCCAGACAGCCAGGAUGUUGGCUUAGAAGCAGCCAUCAUUUAAAGAAAGCGUAAUAGCUCACUGGUCGAGUCGGCCUGCGCGGAAGAUGUAACGGGGCUAAACCAUGCACCGAAGCUGCGGCAGCGACGCUGAUGCGUUGUUGGGUAGGGGAGCGUUCUGUAAGCCUGCGAAGGUGUGCUGUGAGGCAUGCUGGAGGUAUCAGAAGUGCGAAUGCUGACAUAAGUAACGAUAAAGCGGGUGAAAAGCCCGCUCGCCGGAAGACCAAGGGUUCCUGUCCAACGUUAAUCGGGGCAGGGUGAGUCGACCCCUAAGGCGAGGCCGAAAGGCGUAGUCGAUGGGAAACAGGUUAAUAUUCCUGUACUUGGUGUUACUGCGAAGGGGGGACGGAGAAGGCUAUGUUGGCCGGGCGACGGUUGUCCCGGUUUAAGCGUGUAGGCUGGUUUUCCAGGCAAAUCCGGAAAAUCAAGGCUGAGGCGUGAUGACGAGGCACUACGGUGCUGAAGCAACAAAUGCCCUGCUUCCAGGAAAAGCCUCUAAGCAUCAGGUAACAUCAAAUCGUACCCCAAACCGACACAGGUGGUCAGGUAGAGAAUACCAAGGCGCUUGAGAGAACUCGGGUGAAGGAACUAGGCAAAAUGGUGCCGUAACUUCGGGAGAAGGCACGCUGAUAUGUAGGUGAAGUCCCUCGCGGAUGGAGCUGAAAUCAGUCGAAGAUACCAGCUGGCUGCAACUGUUUAUUAAAAACACAGCACUGUGCAAACACGAAAGUGGACGUAUACGGUGUGACGCCUGCCCGGUGCCGGAAGGUUAAUUGAUGGGGUUAGCCGCAAGGCGAAGCUCUUGAUCGAAGCCCCGGUAAACGGCGGCCGUAACUAUAACGGUCCUAAGGUAGCGAAAUUCCUUGUCGGGUAAGUUCCGACCUGCACGAAUGGCGUAAUGAUGGCCAGGCUGUCUCCACCCGAGACUCAGUGAAAUUGAACUCGCUGUGAAGAUGCAGUGUACCCGCGGCAAGACGGAAAGACCCCGUGAACCUUUACUAUAGCUUGACACUGAACAUUGAGCCUUGAUGUGUAGGAUAGGUGGGAGGCUUAGAAGUGUGGACGCCAGUCUGCAUGGAGCCGACCUUGAAAUACCACCCUUUAAUGUUUGAUGUUCUAACGUUGACCCGUAAUCCGGGUUGCGGACAGUGUCUGGUGGGUAGUUUGACUGGGGCGGUCUCCUCCUAAAGAGUAACGGAGGAGCACGAAGGUUGGCUAAUCCUGGUCGGACAUCAGGAGGUUAGUGCAAUGGCAUAAGCCAGCUUGACUGCGAGCGUGACGGCGCGAGCAGGUGCGAAAGCAGGUCAUAGUGAUCCGGUGGUUCUGAAUGGAAGGGCCAUCGCUCAACGGAUAAAAGGUACUCCGGGGAUAACAGGCUGAUACCGCCCAAGAGUUCAUAUCGACGGCGGUGUUUGGCACCUCGAUGUCGGCUCAUCACAUCCUGGGGCUGAAGUAGGUCCCAAGGGUAUGGCUGUUCGCCAUUUAAAGUGGUACGCGAGCUGGGUUUAGAACGUCGUGAGACAGUUCGGUCCCUAUCUGCCGUGGGCGCUGGAGAACUGAGGGGGGCUGCUCCUAGUACGAGAGGACCGGAGUGGACGCAUCACUGGUGUUCGGGUUGUCAUGCCAAUGGCACUGCCCGGUAGCUAAAUGCGGAAGAGAUAAGUGCUGAAAGCAUCUAAGCACGAAACUUGCCCCGAGAUGAGUUCUCCCUGACCCUUUAAGGGUCCUGAAGGAACGUUGAAGACGACGACGUUGAUAGGCCGGGUGUGUAAGCGCAGCGAUGCGUUGAGCUAACCGGUACUAAUGAACCGUGAGGCUUAACCUU
rnacentral:rRNA from 1 species